rnacentral:misc_RNA from 1 species
GAGUCGUCUGUACCAACCUAGUACAAAUGAGCGGACAGGUCGUUUGUUUUCAGUUGUUGCAUUAACCUCAUAAUUAUUUGACAUCUUCUGUGGUUUUACGUCAUUUCAACUGAAUAUUUACAUCUUCAGAAACAAUUUUUAUGUGAUUUACUUGACCCCAUUCAUAUUUCAUAAUUCAUGUGUGUCAAAAAAUAACUCAACGGUUAUCAAGGAACGGAUGUUUAAAUAUGUGAUAUUUAAGACCAAAUUAUUUACACUCUGGUAUAUUUGUUCCUGAAAAUACAAUUGUGUAUAUUAAUAUUUUUUUCUCUUUUUUGAUUAUCUGUUUAUGUUGUACUUGAUUUUAAAGUACAAAGUUGUUAUAUCACUGUUACAUUUAUAAAAGUACAUAUCAUUGACUAGUACAUAUAUUUGUGUGUUUGAACGUAUGAAUUGUUUGACAAAAUAUAUUCAUUAGUAUCUAUGAUAUUAUUCGUUAACAAAUAUAUUACUCAAAUAAAACAAUUAUAUAUUUUU